ensembl:misc_RNA Metazoa_SRP Metazoan signal recognition particle RNA
GCCAGGCACGGUGGCACAUGCCUGUAGUCCCAGCUACUCGGGAGGCUGAGGUGGGAGGAUCGCCUGAGCCCAGGAGUUCUGGGCUGUAGUGCGCUAUGCCGAUUGGGUGUCCACACUAAGUUUGGCAUCAAUAUGGUGACCUCCUGGGAGCAGGGGACCACCAGGUUACCUAAGGAGGGGUGAACCGGCCCAGUUCGGAAACAGAGCAGGUCAAAGCUCCCAUGCUGAUCAGUCAUGGGAUUGCGCCUGUGAAUAGCCACUGCACUCCAGCCUGGGCAACAUAGUGAGACCCCAUCUCUU